rnacentral:lncRNA from 1 species
UGCCUCAGCACCUGCACAAUUUGUGCAGAAGCAUAGCAUGAGUACGUAAAUAACGUGUACCCAGUAAGUAUCUAGUCUAACCUCAAAGAAGUAGUGACGAGGGGCCGACAUCGACACUUACUAGAUAUUAAUAGAUAAAGUAGUGACGAAAUACAACAGUAAUAUUAGAAUAAGAAGCAUUAAAUAAGAACUCCAUCCGUUUCAAUUUAGAUGAGGUAAUUUGACUCGACACAGAGUCGAAGAAAAAAGAGGGAGACUUUUGAAAAUUAUGGUCUUAAAAGCUAUAUUUUUCUUUUAAACAGUCACCAUUGAUCAUUGAUGUGCAAAAAGAUACAUAUUGAGUUUGGCAUCCCAAACUUUGUACAUGAUCAUUGAGUUAUGACUUUCACUAUCACGACCUCAAUUACCCUCCGUAGGACGUCGUGACGGCACCUAGUCUCUAAGACUAGGUAAGUCUAAGCAACAUACGGAAGGGAAUGAAACAAUAAUUUAAAAAUCUCAAAACUCAACAACAUAUAUAAAAGGGGAAUCUCUACAGCUCAAUGUGCAUACAAUAGCCCAAAAUCUAGUAUAAUACAAGUCACAAGCUCUAUGACAAUACCAAAAUCAUUCAUAUACAACUGUGUCUAGUAAAUAAGGAAAAUAUAAAAAGGGAUAGAAGGGGAUUCCGAGGCCUGCGAACGCGGGUAGGUGUAUCUUGAAAUCUCCAAAUGCGAACUCAACUCGCUAGUGACGGGACUUAUAGGAUGUACCUGGAUCUGCACAAAAAGAUGUGCAGAAUCGUAGCAUGAAUACACCACAAUGGUACCCAGUAAGUAUCAAGCCUAACCUCGGUAGAAUAGUGACGAGGUCAGGUCAGGGCCCUACUAGAAAAUAAAUAAAAGACUGAAGAAAUGUAGGCAAUGUAAUGAUGACAGUAAUGACAUUGAAACAACGAGUAGCAUAUCAAAGUUAGCUACACAGAACUAAAGGAAAUAGUGCAACAUGGAGAAAACUAAUUAAUAAUAUGCUAAGGAAACAACAAUCAAAGACAAGUGCAAAAUAAUGGAGAAAUGCCAACAAGAGUCACUACCGAGGUACCGCCUCGUAGUCUAAAAUCACAAGAAUAAAUCACAAUCUUACCUUAUAUCUCAGCGGGAGAUUUUAUAUUUAGUUUUGAAAAUCAUUUUUCCUGAAAUAGCAUCCCGCGUUUUUGCCCACCUUAUCACACCGCAUGGCUUCUAGUAGUUCCCCUACUAGCCACGCCUAUCAAGCCCACUUUAUCUUACCGCAUGCGUAUCAACACCCAGACCUUAUAACACCGCAUACGUAUCAAUAUCACAACGUAUCACAAAUCGUAUCUUAAGUGCCCAAUAUAACAACUUUCUAGAGAAACCAAACAAUAACAGAAUUUCACAACAAGGAGUCCUCGAUUCAACCACAAUGUACACAAAGUCUCGACAAUAACAACUAGAAGAAUAACUGAAUAGAAUGAUAUUUCACAACUUAACACUUUGCCUCAAUAGGAAUCGUGACAUUUUCAACUCAAUACCAAUUUCAACAAUAAGAUAUUCCAAGAAUAGCAAUUUCAAGUAAAGAAUUCAACAGUUAAAUAACGAAUACGGAAUAAGGAAAUAAGAACUUCAACUAAGCAUGUAGAGCAAUUAGCAAGUAAGAGAUAAGACAAGUAGACAUGUGAGAUAAGACUAAAAAUGAUGACUAUAAUAUGUUAAGGCAACUCAAUUAAGGCAUGGAAAGGGUCUACAUAACUAAAACCGGAAAUUUUCACAUUUAGCAUGUGUACACACUCGUCACCUUGCGUACACGGCUUUCACAUAUCAUAAAUAACACCAAACCUAAGGGGUAAUUCCCCCACACAUGGUUAGGCAUAACACUUACCUCAAACCAUGCUAAAUCAAUCCACUACUAGACCUUUUCCUCGAUUAUUCAACUCCGAACGGCUCAAAUCUAGGAAAAAUAAUUUCAUACUAUAAAUAUAAUUAUAGGAAACUAAUUCAAACAAUGAAAUUGCAAUCUUUGCAAAGAAUUAAAAAGUCACCCUAGAUCCACACCUCAAAACCCGACCAAAAUUAUAAUAGCCGAACGCCCAUUCGAUAUCGAGUCCAGCCAUAUAAGAAUUACUCAAAACCGACCUCAAUUCGCCUUUCAAAACUCAAAUUUUAGUCUAAGAGGUUUCUACCAUUUUUCCCCAAUUUUCAACUCCAAAACACUAAUUAAUUGAUCAAAUUAACAAUAGAUUCUUGAAAAAUUAACCAAAACCAAGUUAGAAUUCCUUACCCUAACGAUCUCUCUGAAAAACCCUCGAAACAGCGCCUCCCACCGAGCUCUCUAAGUUCAAAAAUAAAUUAAGAAUCAAAACCCUCGAAUUUCCCCUUUUCUGCCUAGGGAAUCCGCUUCUGCUACCUUUUUAUUGCUUUUGCGAUACCGCACCUACGGAAAAACCAUCGCAGGUGCAGAUUCCACUUGAAUCCAGAAGUUUCGCUUCUGAGGACCAUGGAGACCGCACCUGCGAGCCCGCCCUAAGCCCCUCUGCCAAAUUUUGCAUCAGCGAAGUAAAUGGCAGCGCCUGCGGAGGCGCACCAGCGCUUAGGUGUCCGCACCUGCGAGCCCAGCCCUGGGCUCUCCUUUUCGCAUCUACGCACCACUAUCCGCACAUGCGGCCAAUCUUUCUCCAGGUGCGAUGACACCAGAAAGCUGGUAACUUCAGCAAUUCACAUAAGUCCAAUUUCAAUCCGGAUUCAAUCCGUUUCACACCUGGGGUCCCCGGGAUCCCGUCUGAAAGUACCAACAAGCUCUAAGUUCCGUGAUUUUAGUACGAUUGCUUUAAUCAUACCUGGCUUAAUUAAUUAUUUAAUUAUGUAUCUUUUUAGAACCUAUGUGCAUUUUACCUUUUUCCGCUUUUAAUUAUAGCCUAAUGGAUUUAUCUUUGAAGCGGAUCACAUGUGCAUAAAUUCGUUUUAUUUUGUGCGCUAAAAUCAUGACACGCAUACGUAUACACAAUUAAUCAUGCUUUAUUAAUUAUUAAGAUUGUUUGGUCAAGGUCGCACGAACGCGUACCUUGAUUUAUUUUGAGAAUCAUAAUUAUGUCACGCGAACGUGUACAUAAUCAUGAUAAUAAAUUUAAUAUGUGCCUAAAGCACUCUAACGGUACUCAUUAUUCUUCCUAAACUUUAAAAAUAUUAUAAGGUCAUGAAUUAUGGAAUUAUUUGUGGAACAAAAUGUAAUAAAUUAGUUAUGGAAAGGUGAGCUAGCCAAGAAUAUUUAACAAUUCGGCCAACUAGAGCUCUUAUGUGUAUUAAACCACUAAGACUUAAAUCAUGCUUAUCAGGGACAAAGAUAAGUUUAUUCAUGCUCAAGGAUUCACAACCAUAAUCACCAAGAUAAUGUAUUAGUCAAGUAUAAAAUGAGAGAUGGACCUUCAGGCAGUAAACUUUCUUCAUUACAUCAACGGACCUCUAUAAGAGCUCGAAUAGCACAGCUACUACAACAACAAUAGACUCACGAUCGGAAUCUCAACAGGAAACUUGAACCCGACCUCGACUUGAGUGGAAGAUUUUGAAUUUUAAACUCCUGCCCAACUGAACACUACCUUGAAAAAGUGAUGUUUAGACAGAUUUUCCAACCUGUUUCAAUUGAGGUUUUGGCUAGGAUUUUGGCUGAGUUUUGGAGGUUGUUUUGGGGUGGUUGUUGGCUGGAAUCGGCUAGUUUAAGCUGUGAUUUUGGAUUGAUUUCAGCAGGUUUUUGGCUGAUUUUCACUGGGUAAUUGGGGUUGUUUUUCAGCUCAUUGUUGCUGAUUUUGGGAUUGUGUUUGAGCUGAUUUUUGUGGUGGUUAAAGGUUAGCUUUUGGGUGAGGUUUUGGAGCUAGUUUUUCUGGGUUUUAGUGGUGGAAACAUGGGCUGUUCGGGGUUGUCUUAGGGUAUUAAUGAUGGUGGAAACAUGGGUUUCAUGGUGUUUUCAUGGUAGUUUUAGGCUUGGAUUUUGUGUGGUUGAAGAAGAAAGAGCCGCUACUUUUUU